rnacentral:rRNA from 1 species
GACGAACGCUGGCGGCGUGCUUAACACAUGCAAGUCGAACGGAAAGGCCCUGCUUUUGUGGGGUGCUCGAGUGGCGAACGGGUGAGUAACACGUGAGUAACCUGCCCUUGACUUUGGGAUAACUUCAGGAAACUGGGGCUAAUACCGGAUAGGAGCUCCUGCUGCAUGGUGGGGGUUGGAAAGCUUCGGCGGUUGGGGAUGGACUCGCGGCUUAUCAGCUUGUUGGUGGGGUAGUGGCUUACCAAGGCUUUGACGGGUAGCCGGCCUGAGAGGGUGACCGGCCACAUUGGGACUGAGAUACGGCCCAGACUCCUACGGGAGGCAGCAGUGGGGAAUAUUGCACAAUGGGCGGAAGCCUGAUGCAGCAACGCCGCGUGCGGGAUGACGGCCUUCGGGUUGUAAACCGCUUUCGCCUGUGGCGAAGCGUGAGUGACGGUAAUGGGUAAAGAAGCACCGGCUAACUACGUG